rnacentral:rRNA from 1 species
AAAUGAAUAGACGGGGGCCCGCACAAGCAGCGGAGCAUGUGGUUUAAUUCGAAGCAACGCGAAGAACCUUACCAAGGCUUGACAUCCCUUGAAACAGAUGGAAACACCUGCGGCCCUUCGGGGACAAGGAGACAGGUGGUGCAUGGUUGUCGUCAGCUCGUGUCGUGAGAUGUUGGGUUAAGUCCCGCAACGAGCGCAACCCCUGUGAAUAGUUACCAGUAUUAAGUUAGGGACUCUAUUCAGACUGCCGUGGACAACACGGAGGAAGGUGGGGACGACGUCAAAUCAUCAUGCCCCUUAUGUCUUGGGCUACACACGUGCUACAAUGGCCGUAACAGAGGGCAGCGAAGCGGCAACGCGGAGCGAAUCUCAGAAAAACGGUCUCAGUUCAGAUUGUGGGCUGCAACCCGCCCACAUGAAGACGGAGUUGCUAGUAAUCGCGAAUCAGCAUGUCGCGGUGAAUGCGUUCCCGGGCCUUGUACACACCGCCCGU